GAUGAACGCUGGCGGCGUGCCUAAUACAUGCAAGUCGAGCGAACAGACGAGGAGCUUGCUUCUCUGCUGUUAGCGGCGGACGGGUGAGUAACACGUGGAUAACCUACCUAUAAGACUGGGAUAACUUCGGGAAACCGGAGCUAAUACCGGAUAACAUGUUGAAACGCAUGGUUCUACAGUGAAAGACGGUCUUGCUGUCCCUUAUAGAUGGAUCCGCGCCGCAUUAGCUAGUUGGUAAGGUAACGGCUUACCAAGGCAACGAUGCGUAGCCGACCUGAGAGGGUGAUCGGCCACACUGGAACUGAGACACGGUCCAGACUCCUACGGGAGGCAGCAGUAGGGAAUCUUCCGCAAUGGGCGAAAGCCUGACGGAGCAACGCCGCGUGAGUGAAGAAGGUCUUCGGAUCGUAAAACUCUGUUAUUAGGGAAGAACAAAUGUGUAAGUAACUAUGCACGUCUUGACGGUACCUAAUCAGAAAGCCACGGCUAACUACGUG
rnacentral:rRNA from 1 species